UACGAAGGGGGCGAGCGUUGUUCGGAAUCACUGGGCGUAAAGGGCGCGUAGGCGGUCUCUUAAGCGUGUGGUGAAAGCCCGGGGCUCAACUCCGGGUCGGCCGUGCGAACUGGGGGACUGGAGCUUGUCAGAGGCAGGCGGAAUUCCGGGUGUAGCGGUGGAAUGCGUAGAGAUCCGGAAGAACACCGGUGGCGAAGGCGGCCUGCUGGGACAGUGCUGACGCUGAGGCGCGACAGCGUGGGGAGCAAACAGG
rnacentral:rRNA from 1 species